ACGGGAGGCAGCAGUGAGGAAUAUUGGUCAAUGGGCGAGAGCCUGAACCAGCCAAGUCGCGUGAAGGAUGAAGGUUCUAUGGAUUGUAAACUUCUUUUGUUCGAGGGUAAAGUGAGCCACGUGUGGUUUAUCGCAAGUAUCGAACGAAUAAGCAUCAGCUAACUCCGUGCCAGCAGCCGCGGUAAUACGGAGGAUGCGAGCGUUAUCCGGAUUUAUUGGGUUUAAAGGGUGCGUAGGCGGGAUGUUAAGUCAGCGGUUAAAUAGUGUAGCUCAACUAUACUUUGCCGUUGAAACUGGCGUUCUUGAGUGUAAACGAGGUAGGCGGAAUGUGACGUGUAGCGGUGAAAUGCUUAGAUAUGUCACAGAACCCCGAUUGCGAAGGCAGCUUACCAGGAUACAACUGACGCUGAGGCACGAAAGCGUGGGUAUCAAACAGGAUUAGAUACCCUGGUA
rnacentral:rRNA from 1 species